AACGAACGCUGGCGGCAUGCCUAACACAUGCAAGUCGAACGAAGCCUUCGGGCUUAGUGGCGCACGGGUGCGUAACGCGUGGGAAUCUGCCCCUUGCUUCGGAAUAACAGUUAGAAAUGACUGCUAAUACCGGAUGAAGUCUUCGGACCAAAGAUUUAUCGGCAAGGGAUGAGCCCGCGUAGGAUUAGGUAGUUGGUGGGGUAAAGGCCUACCAAGCCGACGAUCCUUAGCUGGUCUGAGAGGAUGAUCAGCCACACUGGGACUGAGACACGGCCCAGACUCCUACGGGAGGCAGCAGUGGGGAAUGUUGGACAAUGGACGCAAGUCUGAUCCAGCAAUGCCGCGUGAGUGAUGAAGGCCUUAGGGUUGUAAAGCUCUUUUACCAGGGAUGAUAAUGACAGUACCUGGAGAAUAAGCUCCGGCUAACUCCGUG
rnacentral:rRNA from 1 species